rnacentral:ribozyme from 13 species
AAAAAAAAAAUGAGAAGUGGGUGGGUGUUUCUUUGUUUCUUUGUUUGUUUUUUCUUUUUUUUCUUUUCGACCUCCAAAUAUUUUUUGGAAUUU